UGAUGUUUUGUCAUCCACCUGCUUCUAUGCUGUAAAAGCAAGCGCAGCAAAGGCAAACCUACCCAGCUUCAAAUCCAAACAAAGAAAUCUUAGUGGGCUGUUUACAUAUCUGUGGAAGGAUAUCUGGGCUUGUGUUGACGGGGUGCUAGAGUGGUUGAGAGAUCAGUCCCCGCACAAUGGACGAGUGGGAAAUCAAAGACUGGGAUGCGGGGAGGACACUGGGGAAACUGACAGAGGGGUGAGCUCUGGAAAGGAGGAAGGAUACUUCCUGUUCCUGCUGGAGUGACCCGCAGGUCUGAGGAGGAGUGAGGGAGAGGAAGGCAGAGAAAGCGAGGUACUUUUAAAGUGAUUUGCUGCCAGCUUUACCCUUGGCCGGAGUGAAGUAGUGAAACCGGAAGUGACAGUGCCAGAUCACAGGUGUUUGUCCACAUUUCUUCUUCAUAAAUGCCCAUAUGACAAAACUGGGGUACUUGGAACACACAGGGCAGUGGACACAAGCAUUUGGACAGCUCUCAACAUGUUUGUCAUCAAAUGAGCCAUUAUCACAGUACAGAAGCUCUAGUGGUGUUGGUUGUGUUCUGGAAGACCUGAGGGACACAACAGCCACCAUGCACAUCUGCAUCCUGUAUGUGGCUGAGAGGUUCCCAGCUGAACUUGGCUGAGGUCAGUGUCCGGUCAAGUGGAGUCGGGCCUGUGCGUCUGUGGGGGUGCAGAUGAAGUGGUCAGCGGUGUGACAGUUAGCAGGGAUUCUGACAGCCCCAGCUCCAGUGUGGAUUAGAGGGCAAAACAGCCAGCUCUCUCUCCCCUGUCUGUGAGCACUCUCUCUGUGCCAAGCAGAGGCACUGUGACAUGCUCCCACAAGGCCUCUCAUUAGAAACAGAGCUGUCUGGCAAGCUGGACCGUAAACUUUAGAGAGGUCACCCCCAUCCUGUUCUUCUGCACUGUAAACAAGCAGAAAGAUGUUCUGUCUGUCCACACCAAUGAGGUUUCUAAUACCUGAAAAAGUAUGUUCUGAUUUGAAAAGCUGCCAUCUUGACAUGAAGGUCUUUAACCAGUCCGACUCUUGGCAGGUACAGAACACUAAAGGACCAUUUUAUUUCUAAAUGAGUCUGAAUGGCGCACCACAAAGACUGGAAAUGCUGCUGCCCUUUCAUUUUAAAUGCAAUUAAGGACCCUGGUGGAUCCAAUCAAGGAAUCACACGAAUGGCUGAAUGUGAGUUUAUGUUCAAAACUCUGAAUAUCUACUUAUGCAUAUCUACUUAUGCAUGUAUUUUUGUGUGUGUCAGUGAAUGUAAAUUAGGAG